ensembl:snoRNA SNORA70 Small nucleolar RNA SNORA70
GUGCAGCUAAUUAAGCAGACAAUGCUCCUUUCUGCAUGGGGGCCUGGUGUGCAAUGGCUGUGAACAGCAACUUCAUUGGUAGUGUAUGCCCUGCUGCACGUAUAGGUUGCUCUAAGGCACCUUGGAGACAUUC